AGCAUAUUGACUAGAAUUAUUUUUUUUGCUUUAUUUUGGAGCUUUGUAAAUCAAUCUGCUACCACCUUAGGAAUUUGGAAUCAAUUCUGGAUGAGUUUUACACCUGUGAUAAGUACUAUGGAUGUCCUUUUCGAAUGAGAAAUAAUCAGCCUUUCGCAUUGGCAACAAUCACGGCUGUAUUCUGCUGGUACAUCAUUGCUAUAAGCUAUUCUGAUUGGAGCUUAGGUUUUAGAUUAUUCCAAUUCCAGAUUAUUUUGUCACCUUGGAGGAUCCAGGAUCAGAUCCAGAUUCUUCUUGACAAAUUCAGUAUUUCAUUGUCUAUUACUACCAAUAUAGAUCAUUUUUAACUUAUGAUGGGAGUUAUCAAUAAACAAACAUAAGAG
rnacentral:lncRNA from 1 species